rnacentral:rRNA from 1 species
AUGGCGCCCAAAGCUGCCCAGCUCACCUUGGCCCUAAGCCUCCUCCUCCUCCUCGCCCAAAGCGCCCAGGGGAGGAGGAACUGCCCUGUCGACGUCCUGGUUCUGAGGGCGUGCCUUAGCGGGCCCGGCGGCACCUCGCUUUUACAUGCUGGGCAGGGCGGCCAGGAGUGCUGCCCGCUGCUGGGUGAUCUUGUCGCCUUUGACGCCGCCCUCUGCAUCUGCACCGCCCUCCACGGCCGAACGAUCGCUCCGGACAUCGAUCAGGAGGUACCCAUCAGCCUCAUCCUCAACGGAUGUGACAUGUCGGUUCCCACUUCUUUCCAGUGCCCCCAAUGA